rnacentral:rRNA from 1 species
AACGAACGCUGGCGGCGUGCUUAACACAUGCAAGUCGAACGCGAAAGGGACUUCGGCCUGAGUAAAGUGGCGCACGGGUGAGUAACGCGUAGAUAACCUGUCUUCAUGUCUGGAAUAAUACGCCGAAAGGGGUACUAAUACCGGAUAUUCUUGCUUUUCAUAAGUUAUGCAAGCAAAGGUGGCCUCUGCAUAUGCUACUGCAUGAAGAGGGGUCUGCGUACCAUUAGCUAGUAGGUGGGGUAAUGGCCUACCUAGGCGACGAUGGUUAGCGGGUCUGAGAGGAUGAUCCGCCACACUGGCACUGGAACACGGGCCAGACUCCUACGGGAGGCAGCAGUGAGGAAUAUUGCGCAAUGGGGGAAACCCUGACGCAGCGACGCCGCGUGAGUGAGGAAAGGCCUUCGGGUCGUAAAGCUCUGUCAAGAGGAAAGAAGUGUACAAUGGCUAAUACCUGUUGUAUUUGACGGUACCUCUAAAGGAAGCACCGGCUAACUCCGUGCCAGCAGCAGC